rnacentral:rRNA from 1 species
AGAGCGAACGCUGGCGGCAGGCCUAAUACAUGCAAGUCGAACGGACCCUUCGGGAUUAGUGGCGGACGGGUGAGUAACACGUGGGAACGUACCCUUUGGUUCGGAACAACUCAGGGAAACUUGAGCUAAUACCGAAUGUGCCCUUCGGGGAAAAGAUUUAUCGCCAUUGGAGCGGCCCGCGUCUGAUUAGCUAGUUGGUAGGGUAAAGGCCUACCAAGGCUACGAUCAGUAGCUGGUCUGAGAGGAUGAUCAGCCACACUGGGACUGAGACACGGCCCAGACUCCUACGGGAGGCAGCAGUAGGGAAUCUUGCGCAAUGGGCGAAAGCCUGACGCAGCCAUGCCGCGUGAAUGAUGAAGGUCUUAGGAUUGUAAAAUUCUUUCAGCGGGGACGAUAAUGACGGUACCCGCGAGAAGAAGCCCCGGCUAACUUCGCGCCAGCAGCCGC